CCCUUAGAUGUUCUGGGCCGCACGCGCGCUACACUGAUGCAUUCAACGAGUCUAAAACCUGGUCUGAUAGGGCUGGGUAAUCUUUUGAAAGUGCAUCGUGAUUGGGAUAGAUGAUUGCAAUUCUUCAUCUUCAACGAGGAAUGCCUAGUAAACGCAAGUCAUCAGCUUGCAUUGAUUACGUCCCUGCCCUUUGUACACACCGCCCGUCGCUCCUACCGAUUGAAUGUUUCGGUGAAGAUUCCGGAUAGGACUUUUUUGAUUUAUUUCAAUUUUGUCUUAAAAGCUAUCUAAACCUCAACAUUUAGAGGAAGGUGAAGUCGUAACA
rnacentral:rRNA from 1 species